GGUACGUUAUAUAACAGAUAGUUGUGUUUGUCUGAGCUUUUGUAUUCACUCGAUACUCGAACCAGUCGAACCAUACCUAUUUUCUCUAUAAAUUAUUUUGCAAAAACAUAAAUCGUUUGACUAUUUAAAAUUAAAGGCACCAAUAUAAUAGCAACAAUGAUUGGAUUUAAGAAAACAUGGCUUUACGUCCUUUUCGUAGGAGCAAUGUUUGUGUCGUCGUCAUAUGGGAUGAACAUAUUAAAAGCUCAAACUUCGUUGAAUAUGGUCAACAAAUAUUCCAAUAAUUUUACACAGUUGUUUAAACAGAAAUCAACAGCAAUAUAAAAAUUUACAAAAGUUAUAAGGUGCACUUUUACAGGUAGCGACCAUUUCCGAUUGAUUAAAAAAAUGAAAUGAAUGAGUUUAAUAGAAAAGUUAAUUCAACACAACAAUAUUAAUGUUCUAUAAUUUAAUUGUAAAAAAUAUACAUUUUUCCAAAAAUAAACAUGAUUAAUAACUCUCA